rnacentral:rRNA from 1 species
AUACGGAGGAUCCGAGCGUUAUCCGGAUUUAUUGGGUUUAAAGGGUGCGCAGGCGGGAGAUUAAGUCGGCGGUGAAAUUUUUCAGCUCAACUGUAAAAGUGCCUUCGAAAACGGGUUCCUUUAGUGGAGGUGAAGUAGGCGGAAUUUGUGGGGGAGCGGUGAAAUGCAUAGAUAUCACGAGGAACUCCGAUUGCGCAGGCAGCUUACUAAACUACUACUGACGCUCAGGCACGAAGGCGUGGGGAUCAAACAGGAUUAGAUACCCUGGUAGUCCACGCAGUAAACGAUGAUUACUAGCUGUUUGCGAUACAAUGUAAGCGGCUGAGCGAAAGCGUUAAGUAAUCCACCUGGGGAGUACGUUCGCAAGAAUGAAACUCAAAUGAAUUGACGGGG